UUUUGAGUUGCCAUAAAUUGGAUUGAAGUGAGACAGCAUUGCACUAACUCAUCAGCUCCACUCUGCCUUCCAGAGUCAUUAAAGUCCAAUAACAAGCAAAAGUCAAGAUGUCUGGUGAAGGGCCAGGAUACAGUUGGCUUCUCGGAUGUCUAACCAAGCUCUAAGUGAUAAUCAACAGAGUGGAUGGAAGGCUUCAAUGAAAGGGGGAUGGGAAAGGCUUCAUACAGAAGAGAACAUAGAGUUACUACAUCUGUAACCAUCCAGAAUUGUGUUAUAAGUUGGCCUAAGACUCAGAAGGACCUGGAUGUGGAUCCACCCUGUCAUCCUUGAUGGUCAUAUGAUCCCAGAGGAGGAAACUCUGCCUGCCAAUGCAGGUAAACAAUGUUCCAGAAUAUUAAUGGAAAUGGCCGAUGUUAUUUUUGAAUCACUAUCAUUAAUCACUGGAAGCUCCUGAAGAGAGGGAGAGGUGCUGCAGGACUGGAAAAGGGCAAGUA
rnacentral:lncRNA from 1 species